GCAAGUCGAACGAGGUGCUUUUGUAGCAAUACGAGAGUAUCCUAGUGGCGAACGGGUGAGUAACGCGUUGGUGACCUACCCCAAAGUGUGGGAUAACAGUCCGAAAGGAUUGCUAAUACCGCAUGUGGUCUUCGGAUUUAGAAACUGAUGACUAAAGGAGCAAUUCGCUUUGGGAGGGACCUGCGUCCCAUCAGCUAGUUGGUGAGGUAAUGGCUCACCAAGGCUACGACGGGUAGGGGACCUGAGAGGGUGACCCCCCACAAUGGAACUGAAACACGGUCCAUACACCUACGGGUGGCAGCAGUAGGGAAUAUUGCACAAUGGGCGAAAGCCUGAUGCAGCAACGCCGCGUGUGCGAUGAAGGCCUUCGGGUCGUAAAGCACUUUUCUGGGAGAUGAGCAAGGACAGUAUCUCAGGAAUAAGUCUCGGCUAACUACGUGCCAGCAGCCGCGGUAAAACGUAGGAGGCAAGCGUUAUCCGGAUUCACUGGGCGUAAAGCGCGUGCAGGCGGUUCGGUAAGUUGGGCGUGAAAUCUCCUGGCUUAACUAGGAGAGGUCGUUCAAUACUACCGGACUUGAGAGUGAUAGAGGAAGAUGGAAUUCCCGGUGUAGUGGUGAAAUGCGUAGAUAUCGGGAGGAACACCAGUGGCGAAAGCGAUCUUCUGGAUCAUUUCUGACGCUCAGACGCGAAAGCUAGGGUAGUAAACGGGAUUAGAGACCCCGGUAAUCCUAGCCGUAAACGAUGUAAACUUGGCGUCGGCGGCUUAAACUCCGUCGGUGCCGCAGCUAACGCGAUAAGUUUACCGCC
rnacentral:rRNA from 1 species